rnacentral:other from 1 species
GUAAUCCUGUCCUGUGCGCCAGGGGUAUAACCUUUCGCCAACACCCUAGAAAUGGGAGUCGGAGUCAGGUACGGAUUGCCUGCGGGCAAAAAGUAUUCUGCAAUGACACCCACUUAAUUUACGGGUCUAAAGGUGUACUCCAACGGCAGGACGGGAUUUUU